UUCACAUUUAUAGAGAAUAUCUAUAAAUUUACAUCAGGACUUACCAGAAGGGAGGGAAUUUAAUAGGAUUACUCUGCAAGUUUUUUUUAUUAGUCAGUGAACUUUUUUCCUCAGUUGCUUGACUCUUAAUCACACAGGCUUUUCCAGCAAGCCUUACUCUGAGAUAUCCAACCAAGAAAAACCCAGAUGAGAAGCGUUCCUCUCCACGUCCAACAAGCCUGCAGGCCUUGGCACAGUUCCUGGAGUAUUUCUGCACCUCCAGAGCAAAGGGAAAUCUGUCCUAUUUCAGCCGUUCCUUUUUUCACCACAAUCAUGUUUGGCUGUUUCCUGGCACAGGAGAAAAUCAG